UACGAAGGGUGCAAGCGUUACUCGGAAUUACUGGGCGUAAAGCGUGCGUAGGCGGUUUGUUAAGUCUGUCGUGAAAGCCCUGGGCUCAACCUGGGAAUGGCGAUGGAAACUGGCGAGCUAGAGUACGGUAGAGGAGAGUGGAAUUCCCGGUGUAGCAGUGAAAUGCGUAGAGAUCGGGAGGAACAUCAGUUGCGAAGGCGGCUCUCUGGACCAGUACUGACGCUGAGGCACGAAAGCGUGGGGAGCAAACAGG
rnacentral:rRNA from 1 species